rnacentral:rRNA from 1 species
GACGAACGCUGGCGGCGUGCCUAAUACAUGCAAGUAGAACGCUGAAGGAGGAGCUUGCUUCUCUGGAUGAGUUGCGAACGGGUGAGUAACGCGUAGGUAACCUGCCUGGUAGCGGGGGAUAACUAUUGGAAACGAUAGCUAAUACCGCAUAACAGUAGAUAUUGCAUGAUAUCCGCUUGAAAGGUGCAAUUGCAUCACUACCAGAUGGACCUGCGUUGUAUUAGCUAGUUGGUGAGGUAACGGCUCACCAAGGCGACGAUACGUAGCCGACCUGAGAGGGUGAUCGGCCACACUGGGACUGAGACACGGCCCAGACUCCUACGGGAGGCAGCAGUAGGGAAUCUUCGGCAAUGGACGGAAGUCUGACCGAGCAACGCCGCGUGAGUGAAGAAGGUUUUCGGAUCGUAAAGCUCUGUUGUAAGAGAAGAACGAGUGUGAGAGUGGAAAGUUCACACUGUGACGGUAUCUUACCAGAAAGGGACGGCUAACUACGUGC